rnacentral:rRNA from 1 species
UACGAAGGGGGCUAGCGUUGCUCGGAAUCACUGGGCGUAAAGCGCACGUAGGCGGAUCUUUAAGUCAGGGGUGAAAUCCUGGAGCUCAACUCCAGAACUGCCUUUGAUACUGGAGAUCUCGAGUCCGGAAGAGGUGAGUGGAACUCCGAGUGUAGAGGUGAAAUUCGUAGAUAUUCGGAAGAACACCAGUGGCGAAGGCGGCUCACUGGCCCGGUACUGACGCUGAGGUGCGAAAGCGUGGGGAGCAAACAGG